rnacentral:lncRNA from 1 species
AUCUGUAACGCAUUUGUGUGAUGUUCACCUUUGAGACCGCGCGGCUGGAUGGAGGCGGUGUUGCUGUUUCCCGUACACCUCGCCUUGGACAUGACCGUGACCACAGGCAGCGUCUGAGAGAUCGUGUGACCCUCUUGGGCCCUGACUUCCUUCCUAGAUCUCAGAGCGGAGUCUGGCAGAAAGCCCGUCACAUGGUGUGGCUUCCAGCUCCAAAGUGCACCCCCCAUACGGCUACUGCUCACCAUGGCCACGGCCAUCACGCCCGUUUCAGCUGCCACGCCCUGUCGUCUGGACCCGCCAUAGCGGCCACAGCACGAGCUCCACCUCCCGUCCGUCGUCCACACAGCAGCCAGAGCAACUGACAUGCCGAUCAGGUCCCGUCUCUCCCUGCGGAGAACUUCAGAACGGCCUUUGAUGAGAUUUAAGGUAAAAUCCGAAUUCUGUGCUGAAGCCCACGAGGCCUCCAUGAUCGAUCUGUGUGUGUUGUUUCAUAUUCUGUCCCGGCAGACUGGAGGCUCCGUGAGGGCAGGACAGGGCCGCUUUUACUCCACAAUUCAUAGCGCCUGGCGUAUAAUAGGCACUCAGUAAAUAUUUGUGGAUCGAACUCAUUUACUGAGAUGCUCACGCACACAUUCAUGCUACACCUGUUCACCUAGGCCCUCCUCCGGGCCGCCUCCCACACUGGUCUGGGGAAACGGGGUGAAUCAGAGGGCCCUCCUUGGCCUGCUCGGGAGUGGAUGACCCAGUACCAAGCCCAGGUUACGACGGUCUGCCCAACAGAAUUGCCCUUUCUUACCAGACUGUGACCGUCUGAUCCUCUGUGAGUCAGGCCAGUACUGGCUUAGGGUCAGGAAUCCGGGAGAGCUCACUGGGGCUCCUGUGGGGGUGUAGGAGAGAAUCCUAGCCCUCUGCCAUUGUCCUGAGCUGGCAUAUUGCACACAGCUUCUCCGUACACGUUUCCAUAGCAUCCUCACAGAACCCAUCUCGCUGGGUGCCACCAUUACAACCAGCACGUAGGCAAAGAAGUCAAGGUUCAGAGAGGGCAGGUGACUUGUCCAAGGUCACACAGACGGGAACCAGAAUGUAUCAAACACAUCCUGCACACCAUGCCUGGUUGCCAGCAUUCUACAUGUACUUUUAAUUUUUAAUUUUUAAUUUUAGAGAGAUAGCACGAGCAGGGGAGAGGGGCAGAGGAAGGGAGGGAGAGAGAGAGAGAGAAUCUUUUUUUUUUUUUAAUUUUUUUAACGUUUAUUUAUUUUUGAGACAGAGAGAGACAGAGCAUGAACAGGGGAGGGUCAGAGAGAGAGGGAGACACAGAAUCGGAAACAGGCUCCAGGCUCUGAGCUGUCAGCACAGAGCCCG